GGGCUCUUAGAUCAAUGGUAGAUCGUUCGGUUGGCAAUCGGAAGGUUACGGGUUCGAGUCCCGUAGAGUCCA
rnacentral:tRNA from 2 species